AGCGAACGCUGGCGGCGUGCCUAACACAUGCAAGUCGAACGUGAAACCCCGCAAGGGGGAGUAAAGUGGCGUACGGGUGAGUAACACGUAGGUAAUCUACCCUAGAGUCUGGAAUAACCGGCCGAAAGGCUGGCUAAUACUGGAUAGAGCGACGAAAUCCGUAAUUGGGUUUUUUCGGGAAAGGGAGCUCGUAAGAGCCUUCGCUUUAGGAUGAGCCUGCGUCCCAUCAGCUAGUUGGUAAGGUAACGGCUUACCAAGGCUAUGACGGGUAGCUGGUCUGAGAGGAUGAUCAGCCACACUGGAACUGAAACACGGUCCAGACUCCUACGGGUGGCUG
rnacentral:rRNA from 1 species